rnacentral:lncRNA from 1 species
GAGAUUAAGGAAUGGGGCGUGAACAGGAAAGGCAAGGCAGAAAAAAAGAUAAGAGGAAGAGACUCUCCGUUGGUGACAGGCUGUUUCCAGCUGUGAUACCCGAUAACUCUCUCACCCGGGUUCGGAUUUUGUAUUUUAUGUGUUGUCCGGGUUGCCUGAUUCUUUCUUUUUUUCUUUUUAAUAAUAGAUUUGUUUCUGUGGCUCCACCCUGGCGGCGUUUGUCUGUUUCCCAGUUUGUAUCCCCCCUCCUGUUUUUGGACAGAAAGUAGAUUCAACUGUGAGAUUUUUAACAGAGUCAAACUUGGCAAAAAAAGUUAUAUCCGAGGAGUUAACUGGAUUUGAAAAGAAGAAUCAUAGACAAAUUAAUUUUGUUAAAUAAUAAAUCUGACACUUAUUCUUGGCUAGGUUCACCAACCAAUGUGAUUAAGUUGUUUCAUAUUCAAUAUAUUUAAAAAAAAAAAAACAAAAUAUUGUCAAGUUAUAUUAUGUUUUAGAAUAAAAUACUAAAAACCAAUAAAUAAAAAAUAGUAGCAGUUACA